GGAGUUGUGGCUCAGUGGUAGAGCACUCACCUCACAUGAGCAAGGUCCUGGGUUCCAUCCUCAGCACCA
rnacentral:tRNA from 1 species